rnacentral:rRNA from 1 species
UACAGAGGGGGCAAGCGUUGUUCGGAAUUACUGGGGCGUAAAGGGCGCGUAGGCGGCCUGCUAAGUCGAACGUGAAAUCCCCGGGCUCAACCCGGGAACUGCGUCCGAUACUGGUAGGCUUGAAUUCGGGAGAGGGAUGCGGAAUUCCAGGUGUAGCGGUGAAAUGCGUAGAUAUCUGGAGGAACACCGGUGGCGAAGGCGGCAUCCUGGACCGACAUUGACGCUGAGGCGCGAAAGCCAGGGAGCAAAGCGGG